CACACCGCCCCGAGCCACCGCCCCCGCAGCUCCCGCCCUCCCCGAGGGGCGCUCCCCGCCGCUCCCCCCGCCGUCGCUGCCGGGAGCCCUCCCCACCGCAACGGGCCAUGCCGGGGGGGGCAGCCGGAGCCCUCCCGCCGCUCUUCCUCCUCCUCCUCCUCCUGCUGGCGCUGCCCGGCCCGGGACCGGCGGGUGAGAAAACAGAGUUGCCUCCUUCCUCCACAACAGGAGAAGACCACUCUGUUCUGGAGGAUACGGUGUCACCAGCUCUUAGUGCUACAAUCAUUAUCAUCGUCACCGUUAUCAUAUCAGGGAGUGCUUACCUGUGUUUCCUGAAAUACGUCUGCUCUGGAUGCUGCAAAGCUACCCAAGUAGUGCCAGCCAGAAGACUGGAUCCUAGCAGGUCUGAAGAGCAAGUCUAACCUCACCUCACCAGGUGAUUUACUGAGCUGUGGCAAGAAGUAUCUGUAACUAAGAAAAAAUACCGGAAAGCAGAAGAGACAUGCUAUUUAACGAAAAAUAACAACUAUGAGACUCCUGCUUGAUAUUGGGGAUUUGCCAUACUGUACUCUGUGUAACUUUAAUCCAUUCUUGCUAGGUAUGGAGAAUCUUCUUUAGAAGUUUUCUGAUUAAAUGCUACUACAGGUCACACUUUGCUUUAUUAUUUGGCAAUGUCAGUCAUCCUCUCUCAUAACAUCUGGUUUAUUGCAUUUUUAUUGACACUUCUUUAUUUUCAUAUUUGAUAAUGGAUUUGGGGUUCCAGAGAUCUGCCAUUGCUGCCAAGUGUUUUCUCUUGGGAAGAGAGAAAGAGGACAGGACUGGAGACCUUGGGAACUGUCUGAAUUUAUCAUCUUUUGAAAUUGUAAAGACAAAGUGGGCACACUUUUAGAACUCUAAGACAAGCCUUUGGAUAUAUACUGAUAUCUGAAUGAUACACUAUAGCUUGCAUUAUAUCAGGUCAAAAGAGAUGAUCUAGUGAUCUUCUGACCAUAAACUCUAUGCCAACAAGUACUCACAUUUACUAGCAGAUUUUCAAAGUCCAUGUGUCACUUUUUCUUUGCUGUUGAAACAUUUAUUUUCUGCCAUGUAACCAAGCUGCUAUUGGGCAUCUAUCAGAACCACAACUACACUGAGUGUUUCAUAAAGCUCUCUGCUGAUCUCAUUCUGGCCACACCAGUGCCAUUCUUCCAGUUACACGUCCUAUCCAGUGAGUUAGCAAUUCAGUGGACAAGAGUGACAUCGCGUCUGCUGCUGGACAACUGCAUUGCUUUUCAGCAGUAUUUUGGAGAAAAACCUGUAUAUUGAUCAUCAAGAAAAAAACCCAGCUAAAGGAUCCAGCAGUGGAUUUGCCAAGUGACAGCUCUUGAGUGUCCAUAGUUCUAGAGGUUUUUCAUGCAUGUAACCCCCAAGGUAAGGGUCAGUGUCAAGGGCAGUCCAAAUGAACAGAUCAAGGUAAUUCAAGGUCAAAGUGUGUCAAGCAACAUCUUACCUCUCAGGAACACAAUUUCUCCAAAGACACAUUUUCAGGACCUUAUGGCUCAGGUAUUAAAGCAGUCUAUCCUGCACUGAUGUUUUUUCUUUUUUUUAAAUUCCCAUGCCACCCAUGAGAAUAUUUCAACAGAACUAGGUUCAAUAGCUGUUUUAUGUUUUCUUUUUCCAAGAAUGAAAAACAUCAUGUAUGGGAUUCAUUUGACCAAAUACAGCCAUCUGUUUCCAAGCUUGUCACCCUCCAAGUUCCUUUAGACUCUCUGCAGAGAAAAAAACACUUUGAGGGAGAGAUUUGUCUCAUGUUAAAGAUGGCUAAAUUUAGGCAAAUCAAUUGUGCCCUCAAAGACCAUAUUUGUCACUUUUCUUUGCAAGCAAGCUGAGAGAUACUGGCUCAGAUGUUCCCAUGUACACUGAAAAUGUCUAAAGAGAAACGAAUGGCAGUGCUCCCUACUUUGUGUUUUUUUCUUUCUUUAUAAAUACCACCAAUGUUACAUUUUUUGCUCAGUUCCUGGUGUAAUUUCUGAUUUGUGACUACUCUACCAUUACUAGGUGAGAAAACAGAGUUGCCUCCUUCCUCCACAACAGGAGAAGACCACUCUGUUCUGGAGGAUACGGUGUCACCAGCUCUUAGUGCUACAAUCAUUAUCAUCGUCACCGUUAUCAUAUCAGGGAGUGCUUACCUGUGUUUCCUGAAAUACGUCUGCUCUGGAUGCUGCAAAGCUACCCAAGUAGUGCCAGCCAGAAGACUGGAUCCUAGCAGGUCUGAAGAGCAAGUCUAACCUCACCUCACCAGGUGAUUUACUGAGCUGUGGCAAGAAGUAUCUGUAACUAAGAAAAAAUACCGGAAAGCAGAAGAGACAUGCUAUUUAACGAAAAAUAACAACUAAGAGACUCCUGCUUGAUAUUGGGGAUUUGCCAUACUGUACUCUGUGUAACUUUAAUCCAUUCUUGCUAGGUAUGGAGAAUCUUCUUUAGAAGUUUUCUGAUUAAAUGCUACUACAGGUCACACUUUGCUUUAUUAUUUGGCAAUGUCAGUCAUCCUCUCUCAUAACAUCUGGUUUAUUGCAUUUUUAUUGACACUUCUUUAUUUUCAUAUUUGAUAAUGGAUUUGGGGUUCCAGAGAUCUGCCAUUGCUACCAAGUGUUUUCUCUUGGGAAGAGAGAAAGAGGACAGGACUGGAGACCUUGGGAACUGUCUGAAUUUAUCAUCUUUUGAAAUUGUAAAGACAAAGUGGGCACACUUUUAGAACUCUAAGACAAGCCUUUGGAUAUAUACUGAUAUCUGAAUGAUACACUAUAGCUUGCAUUAUAUCAGGUCAAAAGAGAUGAUCUAGUGAUCUUCUGACCAUAAACUCUAUGCCAACAAGUACUCACAUUUACUAGCAGAUUUUCAAAGUCCAUGUGUCACUUUUUCUUUGCUGUUGAAACAUUUAUUUUCUGCCAUGUAACCAAGCUGCUAUUGGGCAUCUAUCAGAACCACAACUACACUGAGUGUUUCAUAAAGCUCUCUGCUGAUCUCAUUCUGGCCACACCAGUGCCAUUCUUCCAGUUACACGUCCUAUCCAGUGAGUGAAACGUGUUUGAACCAUGUUGGCUGGGGGGGGAAAACCACAUCUGGAUGAAAUAAAAAAUGAAUCUGAAGCUUUCUGACA
rnacentral:lncRNA from 1 species